UGCAAGUCGAGCGGUAACAGGAAGAAGCUUGCUGCUUUGCUGACGAGUGGCGGACGGGUGGGUAAUGUCUGGGAAACUGCCUGAUGGAGGGGGAUAACUACUGGAAACGGUAACUAAUACCGCAUAACGUCGCAAGACCAAAGAGGGGGACCUUCGGGCCUCUUGCCAUCGGAUGUGCCCAGAUGGGAUUAGCUAGUAGGUGGGGUAACGGCUCACCUAGGCGACGAUCCCUAGCUGGACUGAGAGGAUGACCAGCCACACUGGAACUGAGACACGGCCCAUACUCCUACGGGAGGCAGCAGUGGGGAAUAUUGCACAAUGGGCGCAAGCCUGAUGCACCCAUGCCGCGUGUAUGAACAAGGCCUUCGGGUUGUAUAGUACUUUCAGCGGGGAGGAAGGGAGUAAAGUUAAUACCUUUGCUCAUUGACGUUACCCGCAGAACAAGCACCGGCUAACUCCGUGCCAGCAGCCGCGGUAAUACGGAGGGUGCAAGCGUUAAUCGGAAUUACUGGGCGUAAAGCGCACGCAGGCGGUUUGUUAAGUCAGAUGUGAAAUCCCCGGGCUCAACCUGGGAACUGCAUCUGAUACUGGCAAGCUUGAGUCUCGGAGAGGGGGGUAGAAUUCCAGGUGUAGCGGUGAAAUGCGUAGAGAUCUGGAGGAAUACCGGUGGCGAAGGCGCUGCCCCUGAUACGAAGACUGACGCUCAGGUGCGAAAGCGUGCGGAGCAAACUAGGAUUAGAUACCCUGGCAGUCCACACCCGUAAACGAUGUCGACUUGGGAGGUUCGUGCCCAUUGAUGGCGUGCGCUAGCCUGAACGCUA
rnacentral:rRNA from 1 species